rnacentral:tRNA from 2 species
GCGACCCUAGCUCAGUUGGUAGAGCGCAACCUUGCCAAGGUUGAGGUCACGAGUUCGAACCUCGUGUGUCGCUCCA